AGAUUGGUAGCUCAGUGGUAGAGUAAUCGACUAUAGUUCGCUACGUCAUAGCAAUCCCCAUUCCAUCUU